GCAGACUGUAGAGCUUUUCUUUUCUCCCACAACCAGCAUAAACCAGUAUGAUCUGCGCUAUAAUCAGUCUGAAUUUCCUGCUUUACUGGACAUUAGUUUUAGCAGAAGAGAAUGGAGUCACACAAAUCCCCAGUGUCGCCUGGAAACUGAAAGGAGAAUCUGCUGAAAUGAAGUGCAGUCAUAAUAAAGAUGCUACCUAUAAUAGGAUGUACUGGUUCAGACAGCGCCAAGGACAGAGUAUGGAGCUCAUCGUGUACAAAACACCCAGUAGUGAAGCAGAUUUUGGCUCUGUGGAUAAAAAUAAAUUUUCUACUGUUAAAGAAAUUGCUGCAAAUGGAUCAUUAACAGUGAAGGAUCUGGAUACAGAGGACAGCGCUGUAUAUUUCUGUGCAGUAAGUGAGCACAGUGUUACAGAGUUACUGCACUGCUGAACAAAAACACCUGCACUGAUGUUACUGCAGUCACUAAUAAAACAGACAGAGGGAGUCCUCGUCUAUUAAAUGAUCAAAAUAAUCCCUUUUUCAAAACUGGGCAGUGAAACUCAACAUAUGUCUCACUCUUCAAGACUAUUACAGAAUAAUUUCAUAUAGGUUGUCCUUGUUAUUUGGAGUAAUAACAUAUUUACAUUGAG